UACGAAGGGGGCUAGCGUUGCUCGGAAUCACUGGGCGUAAAGCGCACGUAGGCGGCUUUCUAAGUCGGGGGUGAAAUCCUGGAGCUCAACUCCAGAACUGCCUUCGAUACUGGAGAGCUCGAGUCCGGGAGAGGUGAGUGGAACUGCGAGUGUAGAGGUGAAAUUCGUAGAUAUUCGCAAGAACACCAGUGGCGAAGGCGGCUCACUGGCCCGGUACUGACGCUGAGGUACGAAAGCGUGGGGAGUAAACAGG
rnacentral:rRNA from 1 species